UACGGAGGGUGCAAGCGUUAAUCGGAAUUACUGGGCGUAAAGCGCGCGUAGGCGGCUUGUUAAGUCGAAUGUGAAAUCCCCGGGCUCAACCUGGGAACUGCAUCCGAUACUGGCUGGCUAGAGUGUGGUAGAGGGAAGUGGAAUUCCAGGUGUAGCGGUGAAAUGCGUAGAUAUAAGAAGGAACACCAAUGGCGUAGGCAGGUUACUGGACCAUUUCUGACACUGAGGCACGAAAGCGUGGGGAGCGAACCGGAUUAGAAACCCCGGUAGU
rnacentral:rRNA from 1 species